GAAACGAGAUGUACACUGGGACGAAAAGGUGAACAAGGUGUUUAGAGUCCAAGUUUCUGUUGAUUAGAUUCACUUAGUAAAUCUCAUUUUUGCCUUGUUAGCUGUGUAGUUAAGGACUGCAGAUGCACAGAUGUUGUUUUUAUCGGAGUGGAUAAAAACGGAGAUUCCGUGUGAACGGGUUCAGGCUAACCGCUAAAGCUAACGGCUAAGCUACUUGCGGGCAAGCGUCGUCACCAUAGAGAUAGACAUCUGUGUCUAUGGUCGUCACGGCCUGAGUGGACCUUGAACUAGACAGACUGAGGUGCUUCUGGAUGAGAAGUUACAUGGCGCACCUCUGACCGUUUCUUUUCCUGGGACAUUGGAUUGCUCGUCGACUGGCUGCUGACUUUUGCACACUGAGCUGUGAAUGCCACUACGUGGAUUCUGCUAACUGUGGGUUUGCUGACAGCGGAGAUCAACGCCGCUGCGGGGAUUUCGUGGACCGCUUCCUGUGAUCAUCGUGGGUUUUCUACUCUGCACCGGGACUACGGCGACCAGCUGGAGAUCAACACGCAGACCUGCAACGUUUUGGGAGCACAGCCAGGCUGCUGGGUCCCGUCCCCUCUGCAGUGGAGGCAGCCAUGGAGAUGUUGUACCAGCUCCACUUCUCCAGUCCCUCUACUACUGUCUGCCCCUGCUGGGCCGGGAUAGGAAGCCCUUUCGCCUCCAGGCCCUGACCUCCGCCUCCUGCCCCAGAAACUCUCUGGUAUCUCAGCUCAUAACCUGCCAAAUCGCCAUUCUGGCCCUCCAUUGGAGGUGGCCUCCAACUUACUCUCAGCGAGGUGGAGCUGGCACUCUCGCAGGACACACCCUCUGGUGGAGCUGAGGGCUCUGAUUGGACAAGGGGCAAGGAGGGCAAUCGGCAAAGAGUUUAGGAGAGACCAAAGAAAACAGGAUUGAAAAAGCAAGAGAGGGGGAAAAUACAAGCGAAAGGAUAGGAGAUAAGGAUAAGAAAGGAAACAAUAAGAAAUUAUGGUAAAAUGAACUGAAAGAGAUGACACUGGGACAAAUAUGACUCAGGCAAAAAAGGGGAGCAACUAUAUAAUGUAAAGGCAUAAUGUUAGGCUUUGAGUCUAAUGAAAUAAACCAGAGACAGGAG